AGUAACACGUGACUAACCUACCCUGGAGUGGGGGAUAACUGAGGGAAACCUUAGCUAAUACCGCAUAAUACCUACGGGUCAAAGGAGCAAUUCGCUUUGGGAGGGGGUCGCGGCCGAUUAGUUAGUUGGCGGGGUAAUGGCCCACCAAGGACUGUGAUCGGUAUCCGGCCUGAGAGGGCGCACGGACACACUGGAACUGAAACACGGUCCAGACUCCUACGGGAGGCAGCAGUGGGGAAUUUUGCGCAAUGGGGGAAACCCUGACGCAGCAACGCCGCGUGGAGGAUGAAGUCCCUCGGGACGUAAACUCCUUUCGAUCGGGACGAUAUGACGGUACCGGAAAGAAGAAGCCCCGGUAACUUCGUGCCAGCAGCCGCGGUAAUACGAGGGGGGCGAGCGUUGUUCGGAAUUAUUGGGCGUAAAGGGUGCGUAGGCGGUUUGGUAAAGUCUUGAUGGUGGAAAAUCUUAUGGGGGCUCAA
rnacentral:rRNA from 1 species